GUAUUUGGAUGAAACUUAGGGGGCGUGUUUCUUUCUACUCCAGGGCUCUAUGUAUUCUGGCAAAUGCAUGGUUCCCAAACCAGUUUAUGAUCUAGGCUUGUUUCUCCCCUUAAAACCCCAAGACCUAGAACUCCAAGAACAGUUUCCUCAGGUUGUUAACUGAGCUUGUGUGUCCUAAGCAAGCUACAUUUAGGACUGAGACACACAGAAGAAAUACACACCUCCUACUUCCCACACUGAGGAGCUAUUGGGUCAGUCAGAGGCCUGUAGAGGGAACAGAGGCUUCAACCGUGCUGGUACAAAGGGGUGAGAAUUAGAUGCUUGCUCUGCUGCCCCAGCUGUCCAGUUAAUUCCUGAGUAUGCGACCCAUGUCCGUCAUCCCACCCAGCCAAGGAAAGCAGUGCUGGAGGAAGUUCGAUGGUUCUCAGAAAAGAACUCCCACUGAAGAGUGUGUGGCUGAGCAUAAACACACACGCCUGGUUAGAAGCAAUAUGUAACCUGAAAACUCAGUGAUGUGCUGGGUGGUGAUUUGGACAAUGUGCCGUUCGUCAGAUGAAAGCUACUGAGCGGAAAGAAGGAGUGGAGCCAGGCUGGGGACGUGGACCAUCAUGGUGUUCGCCCCGGAGGGACUGACUGUUGUUGGCCAAAUGAACAAAAGAACGUGUGUCACUGCAGGCUGGACAGAUGGGCAGCAGAAAGCCUCCAUCCCAGGUCACAAUAGCAUGGCUCAGCAGGAGCAGCGAUAGAGCCUGGAGACUCCACAACACCACCCAGCUCCAUUCCUGGCCACACCUCUGACCAACUACAGAUGCCUUUAUCUCUUGUUACACUGCCAGAAUACAUGGGGCUAACCCCAUGGAUGCAUCUGUAACUGCAAAUGGAGACUGUUCUACGAUGAGAAAGGAUCAGACCUUUAUUAAAUUGUAGUGAAAACUGUUGACUACUGUUGUCUGUAUUAUAACUUUUCUAUCAGCACAGCCAGCUCUAUUUCUAUUAAUUGAAAGCAGUUAGUAACCAGUGUAAUAAUUAUGGGGAGAUGUGCAAGUAUAAUAUGUGUGAUAAUAAAAUUAUUACAAUUC